rnacentral:rRNA from 1 species
UUCGCAAUGCCCGAAAGGGUGACGAAGCGACACCGCGUGUGGGAAGAAGGCCUUCGGGUUGUAAACCACUGUCGGGAGUUAAGAAAUGCAAGAAUGUUAAUAGCGUUUUUGCUUGACUAAGGCUCCGGAGGAAGCCACGGCUAACUCUGUGCCAGCAGCCGCGGUAAUACAGAGGCGGCAAGCGUUGUUCGGAAUUAUUGGGCGUAAAGAGCACGUAGGCGGCUAUAUAAGUCGGUUGUGAAAGCCUUCCGCUCAACGGGAGAACAGCAUCCGAUACUGUGUGGCUUGAGUGUGGGAGGGGAGAGCGGAACUUCUGGUGGAGCGGUGAAAUGCGUAGAUAUCAGAAGGAACGCCGGCGGCGAAAGCGGCUCUCUGGCCCAUAACUGACGCUGAGUGUGCGAAAGCUAGGGGAGCAAACGGGAUUAGAUACCCCGGUAGUCCUAGCCGUAAACGAUGGGCACUAAGUAGAGGGGUUU